rnacentral:rRNA from 1 species
UACGUAGGGGGGCUAGCGUUGUCCGGAAUCAUUGGGCGUAAAGAGCGUGUAGGCGGUCCGGUAAGUCCGCUGUGAAAGUCGGGGGGCUCAACCCUCGAAUGCCGGUGGAUACUGUCGGGCUAGAGUACGGAAGAGGCGAGUGGAAUUCCUGGUGUAGCGGUGAAAUGCGUAGAUAUCGAGAGGAACACCUGCGGCGAAGGCGGGUUGCUGGGCUGACACUGACGCUGAUUGUGCGAAAGCUAGGGGAGCGAACGGGG